rnacentral:rRNA from 1 species
UGAAUACGAGACGCUAAGGCGUCGAAGUAGUGUAUGUCAUACUUCCAAGAAAAGCUUGCACUGUCAUAGAUAAAAAACGCCUGUACCAUAACCGACACAGGUGGGAGGUAGAGUAUACUAAGGGGCGCGAGAUAACUCUCUCUAAGGAACUCGGCAAAAUAACUCCGUAACUUCGGGAGAAGGAGUGCCUUAUUAUUAAGGCUGCAAUAACAAGAUCCAAGCAACUGUUUAUCAAAAACACAGGUCUCCGCUAAGUCGUAAGACGAUGUAUGGGGGCUGACGCCUGCCCAGUGCCAGAAGGUUAAAGAAGUUGGUUAGCAUUUGCGAAGCUGAUAACUGAAGCCCUGGUGAACGGCGGCCGUAACGAUAACGGUCCUAAGGUAGCGAAAUUCCUUGUCGGGUAAGUUCCGACCCGCACGAAAGGCGUAAUGAUUUGGAUACUGUCUCGGAGAGGGGCUCGGUGAAAUAGACUUGUCUGUGAAGAUGCGGACUACCUGCACCAGGACAGAAAGACCCUAUGAAGCUUUACUGUAACUUGAAAUUGAAAUUGGACUUUAUUCGCGCAGCAUAGGUGGGAGGCGUUGAUUAUAAUCUUAUGGGAUUAUUGGAGCCAUCAGUGAGAUACCACUCUUGUAAUGUUAGAUUUCUAACUUUGAAUCAUUAUCUGGUCAAAGAACAGUUUCAGGCGGGCAGUUUGACUGGGGCGGUCGCCUCCUAAACGGUAACGGAGGCGUACAAAGGUUUCCUCUGAACGGUUAGAAAUCGUAUCUAGAGUGUAAAGGCAUAAGGAAGCUUGACUGUGAGACCUACAAGUCGAGCAGGGACGAAAGUCGGUCUUAGUGAUCUGACGGUACUGAGUGGAAAGGCCGUCACUCAACGGAUAAAAGUUACUCUAAGGAUAACAGGCUGAUCUCCCCCAAGAGUUCACAUCGACGGGGAGGUUUGGCACCUCGAUGUCGGCUCAUCGCAUCCUGGGGCGGUAGUACGUCCCAAGGGUUGGGCUGUUCGCCCAUGAAAGCGGUACGCGAGCUGGGUUCAGAACGUCGUGAGACAGUUCGGUCCAUAUCCGGUGUAGGCGUUAGAAUAUUGAGAGGAGCCUUCUUUAGUACGAGGGGACCGAGAAGGACAUACCUCUGGUGUACCAGUUAUCGUGCCAACGGUAAACGCUGGGUAGCUAUGUAUGGAGUGGAUAACCGCUGAAAGCAUCUAAGUGGGAAGCCCACCUCAAGAUAAGUAUUCUCAUC